rnacentral:sRNA from 1 species
GGCAGGAGACAGUGGCGUUGGUGGGAAGCGCAGCUCGAAAAGCGAUGCUGAUUCUGGUUUCCUGGGGCUGCGGCCCACUUCGGUGGACCCAGCGCUGAGGCGGCGGCGGCGAGGCCCAAGAAAUAAGAAGCGGGGCUGGCGGCGGCUUGCUCAGGAGCCGCUGGGGCUGGAGGUUGACCAGUUCCUGGAAGACGUGCGGCUACAGGAGCGCACGAGCGGUGGCUUGCUGUCAGAGGCCCCAAAUGAAAAACUCUUCUUCGUGGACACUGGCUCCAAGGAAAAAGGGCUGACAAAGAAGAGAACCAAAGUCCAAAAGAAGUCACUGCUUCUCAAGAAACCCCUUCGGGUUGACCUCAUCCUCGAGAACACAUCCAAAGUCCCUGCUCCCAAAGACGUCCUCGCCCACCAGGUCCCCAACGCCAAGAAGCUCAGGCGGAAGGAGCAGCUAUGGGAGAAGCUGGCCAAGCAGGGCGAGCUGCCCCGGGAGGUGCGCAGGGCCCAGGCCCGGCUCCUCAACCCUCCAGCGGCCAGGGCCAAGCCCGGGCCCCAGGACACCGUGGAACGGCCCUUCUACGACCUCUGGGCCUCAGACAACCCCCUGGACAGGCCGUUGGUUGGCCAGGAUGAGUUUUUCCUGGAGCAGACCAAGAAGAAAGGAGUGAAGCGGCCACAACGCCUGCACACCAAGCCGUCCCAGGCACCCGCCGUGGAGGUGGCGCCUGCUGGAGCUUCCUACAACCCAUCCUUUGAAGACCACCAGGUACACCGCCCCGUCCAGGCCUCCCUCCUCAGCGGGCUCUGCCUCUCUGUCAGGCCUUCAAUAGCUUCCUCCCUGUGCUGGGUGGUGCUGGGAACUCCAGUGACCCAGACAGCCCUGGGCCUGUCCUCACGGGGCUCAUGGUCCAGUGCAAGAGACCUGUUCCCAGACAGUGAUGGGCAGAGUGGUUGGGGCUGGGAGCCCCAGCCUGGGGGGUCAGGAAGGGCUCCCUGGAGGAGGGGACACCUGAGCCGAGGCAGAGGCUGAGGGAGGGGUUUGCAAUGGAAGGAGGGGAGUGGGUUUUCCAGGUGGCGGGAACAGCACUGCAAAGGCAGAGUUGAGUGAGACCGUGGCGCCUUCCAGGAAGCCUGUGGGACAGAUGCAAAAGGCUGCGGUGACAUGGUGGCACACUCGCAGUCAAGUGACAGUUACUCACGGGUGAGGCUAGCUCAGCGAUGGGAAAGUCUGGCUGGAGCCACUGUGCAUUUGGCAGGCAUCUGUUGGGCACAGAUGCUGUGGACAAAGGGGACAAAAACCCCUCCCUUGGUCGGGUGCAGUGCCUCACACCUGUAAUCCCAGCACUUUGGGAGGCUGAGGCAGACGGAUCAUUUGAGGUCAGGAGUUGGAGACCAGCCUGACCAACAUGGUGAAACCCUGUCUCUACUAAAUAAAGAAAAUUAGCGGGGUGUGGCAGCACGCGCCUGUGGUUCCAACUGCUCGGGAGGCUGAGGUGGGAGGAUUGCUUGAACCCAGGAGGUCCAGGCUGCAGUUAGCUAUGAUCGCACCAUGGCACUCCAGCCUGUGUAACAGAGCGAGACUCUCAAAAAACAACCACAACCCUCCCUCGAGGAACACUCCUCAUGGGGUCACGUGACUGGAGAGAUGCUGAGAUGUUUGCGGUAGAUGCAGGAUGCUUGUCCGAAUCGUGUUCAGCAUUCAUAAGAAGGAGAUAGCUAGCCAGGAACAGAGGCAGCUUCCUCAUCUGGUAGAGAAAAGUGUCUGUGGAAAAAAGCAACAGUGUGCUCACUGUUGAAGAGAUGAGAGUGCCGCUCACUGCUAUCUGUUCCUGGACCAGAUGUGGGAGGGGGUUUGGAGAUCAGACAGUUACUUCUAGAUUUGUACAGAACUACUUCGAAGAGAUAAAAUUCACUUACCAUACGGUCAGCCUAGUUAGAGGAUGUGAUUCAGUGGCUUUUAGUGACCAUUGUGUAACCAUCCCCGCAGUCAAGUUUAGAACAUUUUCACUGUCCGUAAAGGAAACCUCACACAUGUCAGCCGUCACCUCCCAAUUCCCUAUCUCGUGUGGUCUUAGGCAGAUGCCAGGCUUCCUGUCUCAGGGACUGGCCCACCCUGACCAAUUCACAUAAAUGAAACCGUGGGCCGGGUGUGGUGGCUCACACCUGUAAUCCCAGCACUUUGUGAGGCCUAGGUGGGUGGACCACCUGAGGCCAGGAGUUCAAGACCAGCCUGACCAACAUGGAGAAACCCCAUCUCUACUACAAUUACAGAAUUAGCCGGGUAUGGUGGCGCAUGCCUGUAAUAGUAGCUACUUGGGAGGCUGAGGCAGGAGAAUCGUUUGAACCCAGGAGGCGGGGGUUGUGGUGAGCUGAGAUCACACCAUUGCACUCCAGUCUGGGCAACAAGAGUGAAACUCUAUCUCAAAAAAAAAAAGUGAAGCGUACAGGUCAGACUGCCUUCACAGACGCGCAGAGCAGGUGUGAGGGCGAGGGUUUGAGGUGCCCCCGGCUCUGUGCGGGGUGGCUGUGCUGGUAGACAGGGCGUGGGGAGGAAAGCCUGGGCCGGGGCGGGAUCCGUGGGCACUGGAUGAGGGACAGAUGGGAGGUAAGAGGGUCUAGUCUCAGUGUCUCAGGAGGGGUUCAGGGACCCAUCCUCACUCCCGCCCCUCACAGACCCUGCUCUCAGCGGCCCACGAGGUGGAGUUGCAGCGGCAGAAGGAGGCGGAGAAGCUGGAGCGGCAGCUGGCCCUGCCUGCAACAGAGCAGGCCGCCACCCAGGUGAGCCCCGCACCUGCCCACUCCCUCCCCUCCCCGGGCCUCCUACCCACCCCUGACACUGCACCCCGCCUCCCCAGGAGUCCACGUUCCAGGAGCUGUGCGAGGGGCUGCUGGAGGAGUCGGAUGGUGAGGGGGAGCCAGGCCAGGGCGAGGGGCCGGAGGCUGGGGAUGCCGAGGUCGGUCCCAUGCCCGCCCGCCUGGCCACCACAGAGAAGAAGACGGAGCAGCAGCGGCGGCGGGAGAAGGUUGCGCGCAGGCUGCGGGUACAGCAGGCCGCGUUGCUGGCCGCCCGGCUCCGGCACCAGGAGCUGUUCCGGCUGCGCGGGAUCAAGGCCCAGGUGGCCCUGAGGCUGGCGGAGCUGGCGCGGCGGCGGAGGCAGCGGCAGGCGCGGCGGGAGGCCGAGGCUGACAAGCCCCGAAGGCUGGGGCGGCUCAAGUACCAGGCACCUGACAUUGACGUGCAGCUGAGCUCGGAGCUGACGGACUCGCUCAGGACCCUGAAGGUGCCCAUUGUGUGCUGCCGUGGAGCCCCGUGCCCAGUGAUGACACCAUCCUUGCUCCCCGUGCCCCCCAGGGGCUAUGGGCGACACCAUGGCUGCCCCUGGGCUGGGCCAGUGGGGCCAAUGCCCAGGGGCUGAGGGCACGGGAUGCUGGGAUGGGAUCCCAGGGUGAGGGGCCAGGCUAGGGUUUGAGUCUGGGACCCUAAGAAGGCCUUUCCUUCCAGCUGGUCCCUGUUGCAGUCCUGGUCACCUUUAGGACUAGAGGGACCUUCCUGAAGCUCAGAACCAACCCUGUCCCUCCCCUGCUCAGAACCUGUUGUGGCUCCCCAGUGCCCCUGAGGAAGCCCAGCUCCUCUGUCAGCCACACACCUAGGCCGACCCAGCCGUGAAGCUCCAGCCAGCUGUGUUCAUGAGUGGACUGCACCUUCUCCCUCUGAUCCAGCAUUUGCCCUUGCUGUCCCCUUUUCUGUGUCGUCACCAGCCCACUUCCCGUGACUCCUCCAAGCCCAGCUUAGAGAUGGCCGUGGGUUGGUGGCUGUCAUCCCAAUGCUGAGCCCCAGCAGCUGAGGGCCAGGCUGAGUCCCUGGUGCCCACAGGCUGCCCUGGGGAGACUGCAUGGGGCUGAGCCCUGCCAGGACCCAGAGGAGAGAUCCAGGCCCUUGGGCUUCUGCCAGGCCCUACUGAGGCCUCCCUCUCUGUCCUGCAGCCCGAGGGCAACAUCCUUCGAGACCGGUUCAAGAGCUUCCAGAGGAGGAAUAUGAUCGAGCCUCGAGAGAGAGCCAAGUUCAAACGCAAGUACAAGGUGAAGCUGGUGGAGAAGCGGGCGUUCCGCGAGAUCCAGUUGUAGCUGCCAUCAGAUGCUGGAGCCUCGCCCUUCAAUAAAAAGUCCCUUCUGGCUA